AGUGAACGCUGGCGGCAGGGCCUAAUACAUGCAAGUCGAACGGCAGCACAGCAGAGCUUGCUCUGUGGGUGGCGAGUGGCGGACGGGUGAGGAAUACAUGGGAAUCUGCCCAGUCGUGGGGGAUAACGUAGGGAAACUUACGCUAAUACCGCAUGCGCCCUUCGGGGGAAGCCGGGGACCUUCGGGCCUGGCGCGAUUGGAUGAGCCCAUGUCGGAUUAGCUAGUUGGCGGGGUAAAGGCCCACCAAGGCGACGAUCCGUAGCGGGUCUGAGAGGAUGAUCCGCCACACUGGGACUGAGACACGGCCCAGACUCCUACGGGAGGCAGCAGUGGGGAAUUUUGGACAAUGGGCGCAAGCCUGAUCCAGCCAUGCCGCGUGAGUGAAGAAGGCCUUCGGGUUGUAAAGCUCUGUCUGGAGGGACGAAGGAGUGACGGUACCUCCGGAGGAGCCACGGCUAACUACCGUGCCGCAGCCGCGGUAAGUAUC
rnacentral:rRNA from 1 species